rnacentral:rRNA from 1 species
UACAGAGGGCGCGAGCGUUGUCCGGAAUCACUGGGCGUAAAGGGCGCGUAGGUGGCACGAUAAGGCCGUGGUGAAAGUCUGGGGCUCAACCCCAGAUCUGCCGCGGCGACUGUCGAGCUUGGGCACCGUAGAGGCAGAUGGAAUUCCGGGUGUAGCGGUGGAAUGCGUAGAGAUCGGAAGAACACCGGUGGCGAAGGCGGCAUCCUGGACGGUGACUGACGCUGAGACGGCGAAAAGCGUGGGGAGCAAACAGG